AACUUAACUGUUAACAGUAGAAGCCUCAGGCAGGUCCUUCAGGAGGAAUCCAGAAGAAGGCAUUGUUAUUACAGGAGAUGACAACUCUAUGCGUGUCAUUGUCCCUGAAGACCUUCCAGUGGGACAAGAUGUGGAGGUGGAAGACAGUGAUAUUAAUGAUCCUGAACUUGGAAAAUUAGAAGUAGAAAGUUCAGCAAGAACACAGGCGAGCAUUAGAAGUCAUAAAUGAAGAGCACAGGAGCUGCUUGAUGUGGCCAGGUGAUAUGGAGGUGAUCCUGGCCUGAAUAAGGUUUGAUGCCUGAGGUGGGCUGAGAAUGACUUCAAAGGUGCCUGUUUUGGUGACAUGAUGAGAAAAUUAUUAACACCUCCAAAUUUAUGAAACUUUUUUCACAAAUGCAUGUAUCUACUUAAAAUCUAUUUUCUUCCACUUCUGCCACCCCUGGAUAGCAAGACCACCUCCUCCUCCUCAGCCUACUCAAUGUGAAGACACCCAGGAUGAAGACCUUGAUGAUGAUCCACUUCCACUUAAUGAAAGCUAAACAUUAGAAUUUCCUCAACUUGUAUGGUAUAGUUUUAAGUUUCUUCAGACUUGGAAUUCUCUUGGGGAGUGAUAUUCUUUGGAAGGCAUAUUAGGAUUGCCUGGGCAAACAGCACAGGUGCCCCUCACCUUCUGAAAUGCUCUUCUGUGUUGGUCUCUAAUAAACAUCUUGCACCUGUAACUCCACUUCAGCAUCUGCUCCCGGAGAGCCCAGCUGCAACACCAACUUUGACCCAAUACUGGCUGUGUUUCCUGGCUGCCCUACAGCAUGCUAAUCUUGCCCAACAGUCUAGACAGUCCUGCCACUUUCUUGGCAACUCAGUGUACUCUGCUGUGACACUCACCUUGAGGAUUCCCAGAGCAGAUCCCAAGAUACCGGAUAGCAAAAAGUAUUUUCAAACCAGUAGGCUUGCAAGCAUUGUUCUAAUACUGAAAGAUUCAUAGUGACCUAUAUUUAUUGGAUAUUUAUCAUGUGGCAGGCACUGUUUAAUGUGAAUUAAUCACAACUGUAUCAUCCAUACUGUUAAAGUUUUUUAGGUGAGGAAACUGAGGCAUGCUUCAGUCACCAGUUGGUGAGUUGGUGGAGCUGGGAUUUAAAUUUAGGCAUCUUCACAGCCCAUGUGUCUUACUCAAUUUUCUCUUACUCAUAUUGAGCUUAAGCUCAAGUUUCUUAUAGUUCUGGAGGCUGAGAAGUCCAAGGUCAAGGAGCCACAUCUGGUAAGAGCCUUCUUCCUGGUGGGGACUUUACAAGGUCCCAAGGCAGUGCAGGGUAUCACAUGUUAAAGGUGUGCAAACGUGCUAGCUCAGGUUUCCCAUUCUCCUCUUCUAAAGACACCAGUUCCCCUCCCAUGAUAAUCCAUUAAUCCAUUAACCCAUUAAUCCAUGAAUGGCUUAGUCCAUUUAUGAAGACAGAGCCCUGGAGAUCUAAUCACCUCUUAAAGACCUCACCUCUUGAUACUAACAUAUUGGAGAUUAAGUUUCCACAUCAGUUUUGGAGGAAAUAUUCAAACCAUAGCAGCAUAUUAACCACUAUACCAGUGGUUCCCCAGUUUUGGCCUGCACUAGAAUCACCUGGAGGGCUUAUUAAAACACAAAUUGCUGGACCUCACUCUUAGAAUUUCUAAUGUAGUAGGUCUGAGGUGGAGUCUGAAUAUUUGCAUUUCUAACAAGUUCCCAGGUGAUGCUGAUGCUGCUGUUUCAAGGACAACAUUUUGGGAACGACUGUACAUGAUACAGCCUCUCAAGUACAAUUUCAAUUGACAUUAUGUGAAAAUGCGUUAUAGUUUUCCUCAUGAUAAAUAAGAGUUUCCAAGUGCAAUAAAUUUGGAAACCACU